rnacentral:rRNA from 1 species
CGCGUAGGUGGUUUGUUAAGUUGGAUGUGAAAGCCCCGGGCUCAACCUGGGAACUGCAUCCAAAGCUGGCAAGCUGGAGUACGGUAGAGGGUGGUGGAAUUUCCUGUGUAGCGGUGAAAUGCGUAGAUAUAGGAAGGAACACCAGUGGCGAAGGCGACCACCUGGACUGAUACUGACACUGAGGUGCGAAAGCGUGGGGAGCAAACA